UCUGUGGAUAUAUUUUCGAGAGGACAUGUGACAGGAAUCUGUCAUAUAUGACCUCCUGCACGUUUCGUCGACCCAUAAUAUGACGUAGCUCUGUGGUUGUGAAGAAACAACAAGCAAUGGUAUAUUUAAGUAUCUGAGGCCAUCGAUCGUCCUUUAUACCCACAUCGUAUGUGUCUGUG
rnacentral:ribozyme from 12 species